UACGGGGGGGGGCAAGCGUUGUUCGGAAUUACUGGGCGUAAAGGGCUCGUAGGCGGCCAACUAAGUCAGACGUGAAAUCCCUCGGCUUAACCGGGGAACUGCGUCUGAUACUGGAUGGCUUGAGUUUGGGAGAGGGAUGCGGAAUUCCAGGUGUAGCGGUGAAAUGCGUAGAUAUCUGGAGGAACACCGGUGGCGAAGGCG
rnacentral:rRNA from 1 species